rnacentral:antisense_RNA from 1 species
AUAGUGAAGUUAUGAUAUGAGAAGCACCAACUUGGCACAAGACUUGGGAAAGGCAAUGAGGCAGCAGGCAAGCUUUAAGGGAUGACACUUACCUUGAGGGAGCAAGGACAAGUUGUGACCUUCCCAGUCCUCUCUCCAUUUGCAGAUCAGCAAGCUUCUAUCAGCAAGGAGGGGUGGACAAUGAAACUGUUUGGGUUCAGCUUGAUUUGUUUUUUGAGACAGGUAUGGCAAGGGGCUGCCAACAAGAUCAAGCUGCAGAGGAAACAGCCACCUGGGGCGUGUUCUUACGUUGCCUGGAAGCUGCACAAGUGGCCAAGUCAAAACAUGCAGAAUUCCAGUUGCCCAUCAUGUCACAGGCUGAGGCCCACACUCCAGAGACACUGUGGACUGACUGGCACCUAUGAGCUGACCUAAUAACAGUUACACCAUUACAGCUCCGAUUCUACAGAACAAUACAUAUCCAGUUCUUA